rnacentral:rRNA from 1 species
UAUGAGAGUUUGAUCCUGGCUCAGGACGAACGCUGGCGGCGUGCCUAAUACAUGCAAGUCGUACGCUUCUUUUUCCACCGGAGCUUGCUCCACCGGAAAAAGAAGAGUGGCGAACGGGUGAGUAACACGUGGGUAACCUGCCCAUCAGAAGGGGAUAACACUUGGAAACAGGUGCUAAUACCGUAUAACAAUCGAAACCGCAUGGUUUUGAUUUGAAAGGCGCUUUCGGGUGUCGCUGAUGGAUGGACCCGCGGUGCAUUAGCUAGUUGGUGAGGUAACGGCUCACCAAGGCUACGAUGCAUAGCCGACCUGAGAGGGUGAUCGGCCACAUUGGGACUGAGACACGGCCCAAACUCCUACGGGAGGCAGCAGUAGGGAAUCUUCGGCAAUGGACGAAAGUCUGACCGAGCAACGCCGCGUGAGUGAAGAAGGUUUUCGGAUCGUAAAACUCUGUUGUUAGAGAAGAACAAGGAUGAGAGUAACUGUUCAUCCCUUGACGGUAUCUAACCAGAAAGCCACGGCUAACUACGUGCCAGCAGCCGCGGUAAUACGUAGGUGGCAAGCGUUGUCCGGAUUUAUUGGGCGUAAAGCGAGCGCAGGCGGUUUCUUAAGUCUGAUGUGAAAGCCCCCGGCUCAACCGGGGAGGGUCAUUGGAAACUGGGAGACUUGAGUGCAGAAGAGGAGAGUGGAAUUCCAUGUGUAGCGGUGAAAUGCGUAGAUAUAUGGAGGAACACCAGUGGCGAAGGCGGCUCUCUGGUCUGUAACUGACGCUGAGGCUCGAAAGCGUGGGGAGCAAACAGGAUUAGAUACCCUGGUAGUCCACGCCGUAAACGAUGAGUGCUAAGUGAUGGAGGGUUUCCGCACUUCAGUGC